GAUGAACGCUGGCGGCGUGCCUAAUACAUGCAAGUCGAGCGAACGGACGAGAAGCUUGCUUCUCUGAUGUUAGCGGCGGACGGGUGAGUAACACGUGGAUAACCUACCUAUAAGACUGGGAUAACUUCGGGAAACCGGAGCUAAUACCGGAUAAUAUUUUGAACCGCAUGGUUCAAAAGUGAAAGACGGUCUUGCUGUCACUUAUAGAUGGAUCCGCGCUGCAUUAGCUAGUUGGUAAGGUAACGGCUUACCAAGGCAACGAUGCAUAGCCGACCUGAGAGGGUGAUCAGCCACACUGGAACUGAGACACGGUCCAGACUCCUACGGGAGGCAGCAGUAGGGAAUCUUCCGCAAUGGGCGAAAGCCUGACGGAGCAACGCCGCGUGAGUGAUGAAGGUCUUCGGAUCGUAAAACUCUGUUAUUAGGGAAGAACAUAUGUGUAAGUAACUGUGCACAUCUUGACAGUACCUAAUCAGAAAGCCACGGCUAACUACGUG
rnacentral:rRNA from 1 species